AACGCACAUUGCGCCCCUCGGUAUUCCGGGGGGCAUGCCUGUCCGAGCGUCAUUGCACCCCUCAAGCGUAGCUUGGUAUUGGGCCCUCGCCUCCCCCGGCGUGCCCGAAAAGCAUUGGCGGUCCGGUGUAUACUCAAGCGUAGUAAAUCUAUUCCCGCUUUGGAGGCUUACCCCGGGCCCGCCCGACAACCUCAUUAUUUCAAUGAAUUGACCUCGGAUCAGGUAGGGAUACCCGCUGAACUUAA
rnacentral:misc_RNA from 2 species